UGAAGCUGUUGGGCGAGGCUUUCUAGCCUCCCCUGGGUCGGGCCUCCGACAAUUAAAAAACUUGAGUGAUCCUAAAAAAGAACUAUUCCGUGGGGACAUUAUCACCCUGAAGUAGAGGCCUCCAGACAACCCCAUCCUGUAUUCCGGUCUUUGAGGGUCUCAACCUCUCAGAGGGCAACACUAAUUAGAGCAAUUCCUGACCAUUCGGCGUGAGGAGCUCCAGACCUGGGUUCUAGAGUAUCAUCCAGAGAGUGGAGAAGAGGCAGUGACUAUUUUGGAAGAUUUGGAAAGAAAACUUGAUGAACCAAGACAGCAGGUCUCAUCCUGUGUAUGUGGAAAUGAAUCAAGCUCAGAAGUGCCUUUUGGAGCAGCACCAGAGUUAUUGAAUAACCCACUUGAGCCCAUGAGGAGCCUACUAAAGCAUGAAUCUUCAGAGUCCAAGCUCAUUCAAGAGAGAGGCACCACCACUAUGGGUGAUGUGCAAGGGCCACUGAAUUCUAUGAUGAUGCCAUUAAUCAACAUUUUUAAAAAAAUGGUUUCUGAGAUCCUCCAUCAUAGAAAGAGAAAUCCUCAUAGAUAUUUCUUUGAAUGAUUGACAAUCAGGGAGCUAGAUUGUGUGGGUUGUACCUCAAGCACCUCCCACAUCUCACUUGUGCAAUGAAAACACACUUGUUCUCUUGCUGAGUUCCAGCCUAAACCUAUCCUUUCACUUUUAUGGUACUGGAAAUUUCUCAAAGUCAAAUACCUCAAGAUCCAUAUAAGAGAGUUAACAGGCAGGACUCCUGUCGUGUUCAGUAGAACCUAUCUCUAUCCUCUUGUAAGUCUCUGCAUAGCCAGCAUGGAUGGUCAAAGUAUGCAAGUAUUGUGUCCUAGCAUAUUGCCUACAUUAUUCUGCUAGAAUUUUGAAAAGACUAGAAUUAGUUCUAAUCAAUGCUGACACUCUAGUGAGUUUAAGAGGGUCAGACAUACAAGAGCCACAAUAUUUACUUUUUUGUUGAUCCAGCAACUUCCUUGAGAAAUCCCAAGCUCACCUAGAUGUAUCCUAAAUCUGGAUCAUCUUUAUCACUCAAACCACCAGUUAUUUUAAAUGGAAUUUC